rnacentral:rRNA from 1 species
CAGCAGCAGCCGCGGUAAUACGGAGGGUGCAAGCGUUAUCCGGAUUUAUUGGGUUUAAAGGGUCCGUAGGCGGAUCUGUAAGUCAGUGGUGAAAUCUCACAGCUUAACUGUGAAACUGCCAUUGAUACUGCAGGUCUUGAGUAAAUUUGAAGUGGCUGGAAUAAGUAGUGUAGCGGUGAAAUGCAUAGAUAUUACUUAGAACACCAAUUGCGAAGGCAGGUCACUAAGAUUUAACUGACGCUGAUGGACGAAAGCGUGGGGAGCGAACAGGAUUAGAGACCCCUGUAGUCCCUGUCUCUUAUAC